rnacentral:rRNA from 1 species
UACGUAGGGACCGAGCGUUGUCCGGAUUCAUUGGGCGUAAAGAGCUCGUAGGCGGCCACUCAAGUCGAAUGUGAAACCUCGAGGCUUAACCUCGAGCCUGCAUUCGAUACUGGGCGGCUAGAGUCUGGUAGGGGGAUCUGGAAUUCCUGGUGUAGCGGUGGAAUGCGCAGAUAUCAGGAGGAACACCGGUGGCGAAGGCGGGGUCCUGGGCCAGUACUGACGCUGAGGAGCGAAAGCGUGGGGAGCGAACAGG